AAUAGAUACCCGGGUAGUCCACGCCGUAAACGAUGAGUGCUAAGUGUUAGGGGGUUUCCGCCCCUUAGUGCUGCAGCUAACGCAUUAAGCACUCCGCCUGGGGAGUACGGUCGCAAGACUGAAACUCAAAGGAAUUGACGGGGGCCCGCACAAGCGGUGGAGCAUGUGGUUUAAUUCGAAGCAACGCGAAGAACCUUACCAGGUCUUGACAUCCCAUUGACCACUAUGGAGACAUAGUUUUCCCUUCGGGGACAACGGUGACAGGUGGUGCAUGGUUGUCGUCAGCUCGUGUCGUGAGAUGUUGGGUUAAGUCCCGCAACGAGCGCAACCCUUGUUCUUAGUUGCCAUCAUUUAGUUGGGCACUCUAAGGAGACUGCCGGUGACAAACCGGAGGAAGGUGGGGAUGACGUCAAAUCAUCAUGCCCCUUAUGACCUGGGCUACACACGUGCUACAAUGGACGGUACAAACGGUUGCCAACCCGCGAGGGGAGCUAAUCCGAUAAAACCGUUCUCAGUUCGGAUUGUAGGCUGCAACUCGCCUACAUGAAGACC
rnacentral:rRNA from 1 species